CCCUUCCUUCAGUUGUUACUUAGAUUUAUCGGCAAAAUAAAUCUCACCCCCGACCAUCGCUUCUUUCAUCGUCCGUCCGUCCGUCCGUCAUUUUCUCUUUUUUUUUGUUGAUGUUUUUUUUUUUUAACAAUUAUCUAUCCGUCGCAUCGCACGUGUUAUUACGCUAGUUAGCUAUAGCAGUUUUAAGAUGGGCGACCCCUUGGAAUGCGGAGCUUCGCAAUCUGAUUAACUUAUUUAUUAUCAUCUUUUUUUAAUUUCAGCUAAU
rnacentral:lncRNA from 1 species